rnacentral:rRNA from 1 species
AUUGAACGCUGGCGGCAUGCCUAAUACAUGCAAGUCGAGCGAGCGGCGGACGGGUGAGUAAUGGAUGGGGACCUGCCUGACGGAGGGGGCUAACUGCUGGAAAAGGUAGCUAAUACCGCUUACCGUCAGAUGAACCGUUAUGGGAUUAGCGAGUAGGUGAGGUAACGGCUUAUCGAGGCGACGAUCCCUAGCUGGGCUGAGAGGAUGAUCCGCCACACUGUGACUGGGACACGGCCCAGACUCCUACGGGAGGCAGCAGUGGGGAAUAUUGCGCAAUGGGCGAAAGCCUGAUGCAGCAAUGCCGCGUGUGUGAAGAAGGCCGUCGGGUUGUAAAGUACUGUCAGUAGGGAGGCGUUACCGAAAGAGGAAGCACCGGCUAACUACGUGCCAGCAGCCGCGGUAAUUC